UACGAAGGGGGCUAGCGUUGCUCGGAAUUACUGGGCGUAAAGCGCACGUAGGCGGAUAUUUAAGUCAGGGGUGAAAUCCCAGAGCUCAACUCUGGAACUGCCUUUGAUACUGGGUAUCUCGAGUAUGGAAGAGGUGAGUGGAAUUCCGAGUGUAGAGGUGGAAUUCGUAGAUAUUCGCAAGAACACCAGUGGCGAAGGCGGCUCACUGGCCCGAUACUGACGCUGAGGCACGAAAGCGUGGGGAGCAAACAGG
rnacentral:rRNA from 1 species